rnacentral:rRNA from 1 species
UGGGGAAUAUUGCACAAUGGGCGCAAGCCUGAUGCAGCAACGCCGCGUGAACGAUGAAGGUCUUCGGAUCGUAAAGUUCUGUUGCAGGGGAAGAUAGUGACGGUACCUGCACAAGAAGCCCCGGCUAACUACGUGCCAGCAGCCGCGGUAAUACGUAGGGGGCGAGCGUUAUCCGGAUUCAUUGGGCGUAAAGCGCGCGCAGGCGGCUCUUCAAGCGGAACCUCUAACCCCGGGGCUCAACCUCGGGCCGGGUUCCGAACUGGAGGGCUCGAGUGCGGUAGAGGCAGGCGGAAUUCCCGGUGUAGCGGUGGAAUGCGCAGAUAUCGGGAAGAACACCGAUGGCGAAGGCAGCCUGCUGGGCCGGCACUGACGCUGAGGCGCGAAAGCUAGGGGAGCGAACAGG